UCAGGAUGAACGCUAGCGGCAGGCUUAACACAUGCAAGUCGAGGGGCAUCGGGAGUAGCAAUACUUGCCGGUGACCGGCGCAAGGGUGCGUAACGCGUGAGCAACAUGCCCGUAUCAGGGGGAUAAUCCAUGGAAACGUGGUCUAAUACCCCAUAGUAAUUAUGUAAGGCAUCUUAUAUAAUUUAAAGCUUUGGUGGAUACGGAUUGGCUCGCGUGACAUUAGCUAGAUGGUAAGGUAACGGCUUACCAUGGCUACGAUGUCUAGGGGUUCUGAGAGGAAGGCCCCCCACACUGGAACUGAGACACGGUCCAGACUCCUACGGGAGGCAGCAGUGGGGAAUAUUGGGCCAAUGGGGGAAACCCUGACCCAGCAACGCCGCGUGAAGGAAGAAGGCCUUCGGGUUGUAAACUUCUUUGAUCAGGGAAGAAACAAAUGACGGUACCUGAAAAACAAGCCACGGCUAACUACGUGCCAGCCGCCGC
rnacentral:rRNA from 1 species